rnacentral:rRNA from 1 species
GACGAACGCUGGCGGCAUGCCUAACACAUGCAAGUCGAACGAGACCUUCGGGCCUUGGGGCGCACCUCUGCGUAAGACGUGGGGACUUGCCCUUAGGUUACCUAUACCUCCCCGAAAGGGAUCCUCAUAACAGAUAGUGUCUUCCCGGCUAAGGUCUAUUGCUUUGGGAUGGGCGCGCGUUGGAUUCGGCAGUUGGUAGGGUAAAAGCCUACCAAGGGGUCGAUCCUUAGCUGGUCUGUUACGAUGAUCAUCAACGCUGGGACUGAGACACGGCCCAGCAUCCUACGGGAGGCAGCAGUGGGGAAUAUUGGACGAGGGGCGAAAGCGUGAUCCAGCAGUGCCGGGGGAGUGAUGAAGGGCUUAGGGUUGUAAAGCUCUUUUACCCGGGAUGAUAAUGACGGUACCGGGUGAAGAAGCUCCGGCUAACUCCGUG